UAGAUUUUUAAAGUUUUUUCGAUCAUUCCUCGUUGCAAUCACGAUUUUGGUGGUUUUAACUAAUAUUUCGGUUUAUAUAUUCUAUAUUUGUAAAGAAAUGACUACAGUUCAACAAUUUUUGGAAGUGGUGGGAGGACACAAAUCGACUCGUUCAUUGAUAUACUUGAACUAACCAGCACAGCAUCUGAGAGCAAUAAAAUUUUGUAUA
ensembl:lincRNA linc-18 ncRNA